GAGGGUACUAUGGUGUUGAAUGCCGAGCUGUAGUCGAUGAACAGCAUUCUCACAUAGGUAUUCCUCUUGUCCAGAUGGGUUAGGGCAGUGUGCAGUGUGGUUGAGAUUGCAUCGUCGGUGGACCUAUUUGGGCGGUAAGCAAAUUGGAGUGGGUCUAGGGUGUCAGGUAGGGUGGAGGUGAUAUGGUCCUUGACUAGUCUCUCAAAGCACUUCAUGAUGACGGAUGUGAGUGCUACGGGGCGGUAGUCGUUUAGCACAGUUACCUUAGCUUUCUUGGGAACAGGAACAAUGGUGGCCCUCUUGAAGCAUGUGGGAACAGCAGACUGGUAUAGGGAUUGAUUGAAUAUGUCCGUAAACACACCGGCCAGCUGGUCUGCGCAUGCUCUGAGGGCGCGGCUGGGGAUGCCGUCUGGGCCUGCAGCCUUGCGAGGGUAACUGAGCUAAACGACUACCGCCCCGUAGCACUCACAUCCGUCAUCAUGAAGUGCUUUGAGAGACUAGUCAAG
ensembl:lncRNA